AUGGAGGCGACGGCGCUGAGCGUCGGCAAGUCGGUGCUAAAUGGGGCGCUUAGCUACGCCAAAUCGGCGGUGGCCGAGGAGUUGGCUCUGCAGCUGGGCGUUGGACGCGACCAGGCCUUCAUCACGGGGGAGCUGGAGAUGAUGCAGUCUUUUCUCAUGUCGGCGCACGACGAGGGAGACGGCAACAACAUGGUGGUGAAGACCUGGGUGAAGCAGGUCCGCGACGUGGCCUACAUCGUCGAGGACUGUCUCCAGGAUUUCGCCGUCCGUGUCAACAGGCAACCAUGGUGGCGCACGCUGAUCCACCGGCACAAUGUGGCAAAUCAGAUGAAAGAGCUCAGGGCCAAAGUGGACGAUGUCAGCCAGAGGAACAUACGCUACCAGCUCAUCAAGGGCUCGUCAGCUGCUUCAACUUCCUCCUCCAACUCCAAGCGACCAGCAGCUGGCAAAUCUGGAUCAACGUUAAUGUUUGGCAUCCAUGGCGCCUCCAAGCAGCACAACCAAUCAAACGUGGAUCUUACCCAGUUGCUCAUGGUCAGCUGCAAUAAUGAUGAUCUUGGGCUUGGGGUGAUCGCCGUGUGGGGAACAAGUGCUGAUCUCGGGCAGAUGUCCAUCAUCAGGGCGGUCUACGAGAAUCCAGAUGUCACAACAAAAUUCACAUGUCGAGCUUGGGUCAGGCUGACACAUCCUUUUAAUCCAAAGGACUUCAUCCAGAGCUUAGUGGAGCAGUUUCAUCAUACUACAACAGCUGCUGUUAUGUUGGAAAUGGACCAGAAGACGCCGCAGCAGCUGGCUCAGGAGUUUAAUGGGUAUGUGAACAAGAAAAGGUAUCUGAUUGUGAUCAAUGACCUAUCCACCAUCGAGGAGUGGGAUCGGGUCAAAAGGUGCUUCCCAAACAACAACAUGGGGUGUAGAAUCAUAGUGUCCACACCGCAAGCUGAAGUUGCGACCUUAUGUGCAGGGCAAGAAUACAAUGUAUCAAAGCUCAAGCAAUUGUCAGCUCAUCAGUAUAUCUAUGCUUUCCACAACAUGCGCUCUGAGCAUGAAACAUUAGACUUAAUUGGGACAAGUUCAUGCUCAAACGAAGACAUUAUGAAUAAUACUGACAACUCAACAGUGCCAAAUUCUGAGAUAAUUGAGGAUACAUCUACAGAAGCUGCUGAUGGAAAGAGCCUCACAUGGAACAGGAAGAUGGAAUCUCAUAUUGUUGGACGAGCUCAAGAAAAAAAAGAUAUUAUUGAACUAAUAUCUCAUCCAACUAGAGAAAGUUUUGAGGUGAUAUCCAUUUGGGGAAUGGGUGGUCUUGGGAAAACCACUAUAGUGAAGGACAUCUAUCAAAGCCAAGAACUCAUUGGCACGUUUGAGAAGCGUGCUUGUGCCACAAUUUUGCGUCCUUUCAGUCUUUUAGAGCUUCUCAGGAGCUUAUUUAUGCAACUUGACACGGAAACUUCUGAAAAGAAGGCUGAUGUGGGUUUGCCUGCAAGCAAAACGGAGAGAUUAACAUCCUCGAAACAGGCUCUCGCCCCUGCAAGCAAAAAGGAGAGAUUAACAUCCUCGAAACAGGCUCUCGCCCCUGCAAGCAAAAAGGAGAGAUUACCAUCAGUGAAAGAGAGAUUACUAUCAAUGACAGUUGAUGACUUGAUCAAUGAGUUAGCAAUAUUGGUAGACAAAAAAAGAUGCCUUAUUGUUCUUGAUGAUGUAUCAUCUACUGCAGAAUGGGAUCGGCUACAACCAGUAAUUUUCCAGAAGAUGGGAAAUACAAGCCGAAUCAUAGUCACUACAAGGUUGAAGAGUAUUGCUCUACAUUGUUCAGAGAAGAAACAAGAAAAUAUAUACAAGCUUGAAGAUCUAGCGUACGAGUAUGCGCGUGAGCUCUUCACUAAAAAGGUAUUUAGGAAGAUAAUAGAUUUGGAUAAGCAUUAUCCAGAGCUAGUCGAACCAGCCGAAUUGAUCCUGAGGAAGUGUGGCCGACUACCCCUUGCAAUAGUCACCGUAGGUGGCUUUUUAGCAAACCAACCAAAGACUUCUCUGGAAUGGAGGAAAUUUUAUGAUCAUAUCAGUGCGGAGAUGGAGAUGAAUCCUGAGCUUACAACCAUAAGAAGUGUUCUUAUGAAAAGCUAUGAUGGUCUACCCUUCCACCUCAAGUCCUGUUUCUUGUACACAUCCAUAUUUUCUGAAGACCGUAAGCUUGAGCGGAGACGCUUGGUGCUUCGGUGGACUGCAGAGGGGUACUCAAGGGAGGUGCGUGAUAAGUCGGCGGAGGAAAUAUCAGAUAGCUACUUCCUGGAACUUAUAAGCAGGAGCAUGAUACUGCCAUCUCAAAAAUCAUUCCAUAGCAUAAAAGGAAUAGAUUCCUGCCAAGUCCAUGAUCUCAUUCGUGAGAUCAGCAUCUCAAAGUCUAUGGAAGAAAACCUUGUUUUGAGACUAGAGAAAGGUUGUAAGCUGAAUAGCCAGCAGGGUAAUGCACGCCAUCUUGCUAUAAAUGGCAAUUGGGAAGGAGAGCAGAGUGAUUUUGAGAGGAUGGUGGACAUGCCCCGUGUACGGUCAGUAACUGUUUUGGGGAAGUGGAGGCCAUUCUUCAUGUCGGUGAAGAUGAGGAUGCUACGAGUUCUGGACUUGGAAGACACGACAGGUCUCGUCGAUCAUCACAUUAAGCAUAUUGGGAAGCUUCUUCACCUAAUAUACCUAUCUCUGAGAGGAUGUGAAGAUAUUUAUCACCUGCCAGAUUCAAUCGGCAACCUGAUGCAACUGCAAACACUUGAUAUCAGAGGUACCUCCAUACUGAUACUGCCGAGAAGCAUCGUCAAGCUUCGGAAGCUGCAAUAUCUUCGUUGCAGUAAUAAUAACAAGCUUAAAUGGCGUGUUGGACCGAUAGACUACUAUGAUUCACAUCCUUAUUUGAAGACAUGCAUGGUUUUUUGUACUGGAUGUUGCAUACCUCGGGAAGUAAUACAAACUGAUGGCUUCAACCAGCGUGAUGUAUGCACCUUCACAUGUUGCGCGGCAAUCCCUUUUCUGAUGAAGGGGUAUGGCAAUGGUGUUGGCGUGAGGGUGCCAAGAGGGAUUAGGAGAAUGAAGGCCCUGCAUACAUUACAGGGUGUAGACCUGGUCGCGUCCAGAGGCAUUGCUUUUCUGCGGAACAUCAAAGGACUCAUGGGGCUACGUAAGCUAGGAGUGGUCCGCCUACAAGCUAGGAAUGCUUCAGAGUUUUGUGCUGUCGUUUCCAGUCUCAACCUUCUAGAGUCAUUGUCAGUGACUCCAGAGGGUGGACACGAUUUGCGUCUGGAUGGCAUUUCCUCGCCUCCAAGUAACCUCCGGAACCUCAAGCUGAACAUGGCAACUUUCCCCAUUCAAAGCAUGGCCAAAUUGCCGGAAUGGGUCAAGAAGCUUGAGAACCUUGUCAAGCUGAGGAUCGAGUUCGCAACAUCUGGCCAAGAGGAGCAGGAUGCUGCUAUAGGAGCCCUGGGGAAUCUACUGAACCUAGCCGUCUUGCGUCUCAAUGUGGUUAGUUUCCGUGGUGAAGAACUACAUUUCGUGGCGGAGGCAUUCCGGAGCCUCGUCGUGCUGGAGCUUUCACGGACAACUAAAAUGAGGUUGGUUGAGUUUGAGCAGGGAGCAAUGCCCAAACUCCAGCAGCUUCUCCUCCAGUAUCUGAAUACCGAGACUAGGUUUCUUGGACUGGACUCUCUCGGAAGCAUCAAGGAAGUAGGGAUCACCGAGCACCUUAUCACCGAGGAGUUGCGGGCCCAGGUCGCUUUGAAUAGAAACAAGCCCAUCCUAAAUACAGUCCCACCAGGUCGCUUUGAAUAG
rnacentral:rRNA from 1 species